rnacentral:rRNA from 1 species
GACCGCAAGGCCUGGGGCAAGGAGAGGAUCCUGCGUCUGAUUAGCUAGUUGGUGAGGUAAUGGCCCACCAAGGCGACGAUCAGUAGCCGGCCUAAGAGGGUGAUCGGCCACACUGGAACUGAGACACGGUCCAGACUCCUACGGGAGGCAGCAGUGGGAAAUUUUGCGCAAUGGGCGAAAGCCUGACGCAGCAACGCCGCGUGGGUGAUGAAGGUCUUCGGAUCGUAAAACCCUGUCGUCGGGGACGAAGGUGGGCGGGUUAAUAGCCUGUUUGCUUGACGGUACCCGGAGAGGAAGCCCCGGCUAACUCUGUGCCAGCAGCCGCGGUGAUACAGGGGAUGCAAGCGUUAUUCGGAAUUAUUGGGCGUAAAGGGCGCGUAGGCGGCUUUUUAAGUGAGAUGUGUAAUCCCUGAGCUCAACUUGGGAACUGCAUCUCAUACUGGGAGGCUAGAGUACUGGAGAGGGUGGUAGAAUUCCACGUGUAGCGGUGAAAUGCGUAGAGAUGUGGAGGAAUACCAGUGGCGAAGGCGGCCACCUGGACAGUAACUGACGCUGAGGCGCGAAAGUGUGGGUAGCAAACAGGAUUAGAU